rnacentral:tRNA from 1 species
GAUGUAGUUCAUUUGGCUGAGCUCUUGACUAGCAUGCAAAAAGCCCUGGGUUUGAUUCCCAGCAUC